rnacentral:rRNA from 1 species
GACGAACGCUGGCGGCGUGCUUAACACAUGCAAGUCGAACGAUGAAGCCUAGCUUGCUAGGUGGAUUAGUGGCGAACGGGUGAGUAAUACGUGAGUAACCUACCUUUAACUCUGGGAUAAGCCUGGGAAACUGAGUCUAAUACCGGAUACGACCAAUCUCCGCAUGGGGUGUUGGUGGAAAGCGUUAUGUAGUGGUUAUAGAUGGGCUCACGGCCUAUCAGCUUGUUGGUGAGGUAACGGCUCACCAAGGCGACGACGGGUAGCCGGCCUGAGAGGGUGACCGGCCACACUGGGACUGAGACACGGCCCAGACUCCUACGGGAGGCAGCAGUGGGGAAUAUUGCACAAUGGGCGCAAGCCUGAUGCAGCGACGCCGCGUGAGGGAUGACGGCCUUCGGGUUGUAAACCUCUGUUAGCAGGGAAGAAGAGAAAUUGACGGUACCUGCAGAGAAAGCGCCGGCUAACUACGUG